CCUACGGGAGGCAGCAGUGGGGAAUAUUGGACAAUGGGCGCAAGCCUGAUCCAGCCAUACCGCGUGGGUGAAGAAGGCCUUCGGGUUGUAAAGCCCUUUUGUUGGGAAAGAAAAGCAGUCGAUUAAUACUCGGUUGUUCUGACGGUACCCAAAGAAUAAGCACCGGCUAACUUCGUGCCAGCAGCCGCGGUAAUACGAAGGGUGCAAGCGUUACUCGGAAUUACUGGGCGUAAAGCGUGCGUAGGUGGUUGUUUAAGUCUGUUGUGAAAGCCCUGGGCUCAACCUGGGAAUUGCAGUGGAUACUGGGCGACUAGAGUGUGGUAGAGGGUAGUGGAAUUCCCGGUGUAGCAGUGAAAUGCGUAGAGAUCGGGAGGAACAUCCAUGGCGAAGGCAGCUACCUGGACCAACACUGACACUGAGGCACGAAAGCGUGGGGAGCAAACAGGAUUAGAUACCCUGGUAGUCCACGCCCUAAACGAUGCGAACUGGAUGUUGGGUGCAAUUUGGCACGCAGUAUCGAAGCUAACGCGUUAAGUUCGCCGCCUGGGGAGUACGGUCGCAGACUGAAACUCAAAUGAAAUUGACGG
rnacentral:rRNA from 1 species